rnacentral:rRNA from 1 species
GACGAACGCUGGCGGCGUGCUUAACACAUGCAAGCCGAACGGUAAGGCCCUUCGGGGUACACGAGUGGCGAACGGGUGAGUAACACGUGGGUGAUCUGCCCUGCACUUCGGGAUAAGCCUGGGAAACUGGGUCUAAUACCGGAUAGGACCACUGCCUGCAUGGGUGGUGGUGGAAAGCUUUUGCGGUGUGGGAUGGGCCCGCGGCCUAUCAGCUUGUUGGUGGGGUGAUGGCCUACCAAGGCGACGACGGGUAGCCGGCCUGAGAGGGUGACCGGCCACACUGGGACUGAGAUACGGCCCAGACUCCUACGGGAGGCAGCAGUGGGGAAUAUUGCACAAUGGGCGCAAGCCUGAUGCAGCGACGCCGCGUGAGGGAUGACGGCCCUCGGGUUGUAAACCUCUUUCAGCACCGACGAAGCGCAAGUGACGGUAGGUGCAGAAGAAGGACCGGCCAACUACGUGCCAGCCGCCGCAGUAA